rnacentral:lncRNA from 1 species
UCUCUCUCUCUGUGUCCCCCCCCCCAUUUAUUGUCUGAUCCUAUCAGUCAAGUUAAUAUAAAAGUAGCAAGUGGGAGGCCCAGCACCCUCUCUUCCGCGCGCCUAGGGCACUUUGGGGAGGUGUCGGCCGCUGCCAGGUUACCGGCGGGAGUGGUGGCCCUUGGUGCAGGGCACGCCGCCUGCGGAGGAGUUGGGGUCUGCGCUGGGUUGCAGGGCUUAUUCAAAUGCCGCCCGCUGCUGCUGUGAUUCGCAGGGACUCGGCCUCCAUAUGCCAGGUGCCCCCCAGAAACCGGCAAUUCUGCAACCAGUUGUGGAAUCCUGCAACUAGUCAUAAAAUGUGCUGAAAAUGUACUUUAGGAAACGUAAUCUUGCUAUAUAUGGCAAGG